rnacentral:lncRNA from 1 species
CUGUUCACAAGGCUGCUCCCAUACCUGAUACUUUCCUUAAUAUCAAACCAGGCAGUCCUUUCAGGGGGACUGUGUAGAAUAAACAUCAUGCUAAGAUAUGUGAGUGCUCCUGGCUGAAAGUAGGGACAGGAAAGGAAGAACAAGAACCUGAAGCCAGAAAGAGAGGCUGAAUCCGUGACCGAAGUUCAGAAUGCAGGUGUGCAUGUCUGUUGUCACGGGUUAAAGCAGCUCCCACAAGGAACAGGAUCAUCCCUGUAAAAUCUUCAAGAACAGAACCCAGUGCCUCACCUGUGUCUUGCCACUAUGAGCAUUGAACACAUCCUUGCUGCUCACUUUGAUGGAUCCAUUUAUGGUAUGGUGCCCUCGGGGAGCAGUAUGGAACCUAUUCUCCUUUGUGGGAGAGGUGGAACCAACUGUGACUUCAUGUAGUUGAGAGCAAGUAUGGUCUGAAGAAGGUCUGAAGAAGAAGGACCCAUGGCAUCCUUUAUUGAGUGUGGUCCAAAUGGAGAAACUCAACUGACGAAAUCCCUGGUACCUGGGCAAACAGCCUCUGCUUAUACAUGAUCAACGGUAUGGAAUUAUUUACCUUUCAAGGAAAUCCAUUUUACUUUUCAAUAAUUCUUUUUAAAAAUAUUUAU